CCCAAGACUCUGAUUCCACAGAGCAACCAACAAACACAUUCUUACAGAUCAGGGGUGGAUGAUGAUGAAACAGGACCUAGAUUAAUCUACAUGUCUGUCUGAGUUAGAAUGUGGAUACUGAAUAUUGACAACACAAAAUUGAUGAGGACAGAAGUUACUUGAAAAUAAAGCAGAAAACAGACACCACUGAAGGAUGGAAAGGCUGCAUGGCAAGGAACAGAAAGUCAACAUUAUGAUCAUUUUGAUGAAAAUUCUCUCUUAUUCUUCAGCAGACGAUUUCGUUUGUUCAGAAUUAUUAACUCCGAUUAUACUAACCUGUGGGCUGCAGUACAGACAGAACUGGGCUGUGCAUUUACACUACAAUACAAAACUUGUAUUUGCCUUUUACAUCCAGUGGAGGGCAGUUAAGUUACAUGAUACAGAAACAAACUAAAUUGCACUGUGAUAGGAAGCUCUCAAGAAGCUAUGCAAUGAUUGGAAUUAACAGUUCCUUUAACUGUGUGAAAGAACACUUAGACUACCUGAAGAAUUAAAAAAAACCCAAACUCUAGCAAUAUUUUUCUCCUUCUAAAACUUCUUUGUAGGAGUGGGAGAGUAGGAGUAGAUUUAAAACUUUCCUCCAUCAGUAGAGGAAAAGAGUCCUAUAUACAUACACACAAGUUUCAAGUGGUUUCUGUUUUAUAUGUUAAUCAGUCUUUCCCAGAAUCUGUGUAUUACCUUCAAAAAGGUCUUGGUGUUUCUAUUUCCCUUCUGCGAUGUAACCUCAGACGUCUUUUUUUAACUGUAGUUGUUUUUCAUGCAGAGAAUGUUUUAAAGAAAAAUGACACUUUUUUUUUCACUAGAUCAGAGAUUCCAGGGAAAAAAAUAGGAUUAUUUUCAAUGAUUGGGGAGGGAAGUUCUCAGUGUAGAGUUAGUAAUUGUUGACCUAUUAUUUUUUAAGUUCCUGUAAAAGAAACACUUAGAGAAAACGUUCCAACCAGAAAUAGAAAGCUAAUCAUUGCCCUUUUAAAUCUGGUCUCUCUUUUUUUUUUCUUUGGCUGAUAACACUUACCGUUGGGUCAUUAAAGUCCAGCAAAAUUUGAACUGAAAGCACAACUUUUCUGGGUCUGGUCCUGCGUUACACACAAUUACUGGACGUUUGGGGUUCCCAAGAAAUGCAUGAUCUAGCCCUCUCUGGCAUUUCAUUAUCCAGAACAACACUCUAGAGCAUGUCCUCAUUGUAAACGAAUCAUUUACAUUUCAUUCACUGUAAAGAAGGAUAAUAGGUGGGGUUAAAAGAAGGAUUUAAAAGCACUGUAAUCAUAACUGAAUAUGAAUAAUCUUGGGGUCAGAAUUAAAAUGUUUUCA